CAUGGUUCUUUCAACCGAAAAUGAGAAAAGAAAAAAAGUUCAUGGAAGCCAUUAGGGUUCGGCAACUUCAAGCUUUAAUUAAGUUUCGGAGACUUGCUCGGGUUGGAAGUCGUUGGAGACCACAUCACACUAUCUAGUUAUCACUUCGGUAAUUAAAAGCCUUAAGUUUUUGGUUAUGUGGCAUGUAUAGGCUAAAUUCAAUGUGGUUCAUUUUGAUUUGUAUAUGUAGCCAUGCGAGAAUGGCUUGUUAAUGAUGUUAAUGUUUGUGUAUAUUCAAGCAUGGUAUAAGCUUAUUUUUGAGAAA